CUCAACAAUGGUUGAUGCCAUUUCAAUGACAGGAGCAAAAGAUGUCGGUCCUGCAAGUCGAAGAUUGGGCACGAUUUCCCUGUAGCGACUCAGAACUUCCUCAAAUCCAUUGCAGAAUCUCUCAUCAGGAUAGAAGCAGAAAACAUCCUGAUCAUGUGUGGAAGCAUCCCCAAAUCCAAAACAGGGAAUCAAGUUAUCCUCGUCAAAUGCAGCUAAAGUUUUUCCAAUAAUGGAUAUUGCUUGUUCAUAGGGAUUUACACCAUCUCCAAUGUGAUGCAAGCUUCGUCUGUUAAAUGAUCUUG
rnacentral:misc_RNA from 1 species